GCGUUCGGGUGGCAUCCUGACCAGAUGCCUGAAUCACCUUAUCUGACGACUCUCGAUGUGGAGGAGCAGCGGCUUUACUUUGAGCUCCUCCCGGAUGGCAGAGCUUCUCACCCUAUCUCUAAGGGAGAGCCCCGCCAUCCGGCGGAGGAAACUCAUUUUGGCUGCUUGUACCCGUGAUCUUGACCUUUCGGUCAUAACCCAAAGCUCAUGACCAUAGGUGAGGAUGGGAACAUAGAUUGACUGGCAAAUUGAGAGCUUUGCCUUCCGGCCCAGCUCCUUUGUUAACCACAACGGAUCGAUACAGAGUCCGCAUUACUAAAGAUGCCACACCGAUCGGCCUGUCGAUCUCACGAUCCACUCUUCCAAUAUAUAUAAUAUCACAACCCUUGAUUCAUUAGAUCAAAUUUGACCCAAGGAAUCUUAGUUAUGUUUAGAGAGUUCCGGUCGGAUGGUUUUCACCUGACACAUUUCCGGUUUGUUAACUGAACGACACGGGUGUGUUUUUAAUGCUCCGUUGUUGCGAACUGAUGUCUGAACGUCACUAUAACAGUCAGCAGCAUCUUUUGACACUCCGCCUUUGACUCCCGUCCUUACACGCUUCACGAGACAAUUCGUUUACACUUCUAGUCAUAAUUGGAAUCUUUUUUAAACUCAGUUUUGUAUGUCUCCCACGACAGCUUCCGUUGUAACUAAUUAUGCAAAUGAAGCUAUUAUGUCAUCUAGCAUUUUUUCUAGCAACUUUUAAUGAAAGCCAAUAGCUACUUUCUUGCCUGAGCAGUUUGCAACGAUGCAAUGUGGUGACGUAACUUCCUGUAUCAUGUGCCUGGUUGCUGUGGCAACGAACGCUUCCUCGCGCUCAAAAAAGAAGCGCACUUGGGUUGACGUCCAACAAUGGCGGACAUGUUCUCGUUAAAACGGUCGGUUUUGAUUUAUUUGGACAAAAGUGGCGGCCUUCAGAAACUAACAGAAGACUGCAAAUCGUACAACGACCCCCCACAAAAUGCAAUGGCGAUUUUCCGGUUCUGUGUCGGCGUUAAUCCCACUGACGUCAUAGAGGUGGACCCGGAACUGGGUGACCGUAUAUUACACCACCCACUACAGGCAACAGCUUUGUUUCAAUCUGUGUGCUUCUUGGCCAUUAAGACACUUUCACUUAUUGAGAAUGUACAUACAGAGUGUCAGGUUAAUGUCAUGUUGAAGUUGACACACCUACCUCCAUUUCCUGACUACAAGCUGGACCUUGCUGUGUUCCCACGUACACACUGCUGCAUGAGGCCUGUGCUUAUGGAAGGUCUGGCCAUUGCAGUCACAAGGGUCACCAAAUACACACAGAGCGCCAGGUUCCUUUGCAGCAACGACGACUGUCACUUUUCUUCAGGGUUCCACCACAUCCGGGUUCAUGCACCCGGAGCCACAGAGUCGGCAACCGUGAGAAACGACUUCAGCUGCAAGACUUGCAGCUCGCCUCUCAAAGAGGACAUCCAGUUCAGAGUUUUGGGAGACAAGCAGCUGGUGGAAUUGAUCCAUGUCGAUGCUCUGAAGGUUCUCAGUGCGCAUCAACAAAGCCCGCUCAGAUAUCAGUCAGUCACACUGUUUCUUAGAGAUGAGCUGUGUAACACGAUGAGAAUUGGUCAACUCUACCGGGUGAUCGGCAUACCUGCGCAUGUGCACCAUUGGCCCAAUAUUACCUGGAGCGUGGAGGUCAACAACGUUCAACCAUGGGAGCCUCAGUAUCCACAUGACAUCAAUGCCAAAUUCAAGCAGCUACUGAAGGCCACAGGAAGAUCUCCUUGGCGGUUCGCUGCCGUCAUAGUACACUGCUUUGAUUUGAAUAUGACUCCUCCAGGCCUUUAUCACACGUUGAAACUCAGCCUAUUGCUCAGCUUGGUGCAAACGAGAGGGGACGCCAAAAACACUUCACACUUGAAUCUUCUCGUCACUGCAGGCGACACCCUAAUAGUGGAAAGGUUAAUGAGGUACAGCUUGAGCUUGUCGUGCCGUGGGGUGAGGCAUGAAGCCUCACGGGAGAUAUUUGCAUCCCUAUCCCACGACGAGCAUGGAGCGGGCACUGCUAACAUCCACGCCGGUUCUGCCUUGCUUGCCAAUGGUGGGAUUUGCAUGCUUGGAGAUCUGAGCUCUUUUAGGAAGGACAAGCUGGACGCAAUUGAGACAGUCCUGGACAGUCGCACAGUGUCCGUGUUCAUCCCGGGGAAGAAAUAUGGCAAGGAUGCAGACCAGCACCUUACCUUCCCCAUCUCGUGCAGCUUCUGGGCCCUCGCAGACUCCACACAAAGCUCUCGAAGGACAUACGAUGCCGAAAUGGGUCCAGUACCACCUCAGCUGGCAGCUAGCUUUGGCCUCAUCGUGAAGUGUCAGGAUCCGGUAAAAGAGCAUGCUGUACUCUCUUUGACAGCCCACACCCUCCAGCAGGCUGUGCAGCCUGGAAAACACCUCUAUUCAUCCCUUGACUUUUCUACCCAGGACUACAAGGAGCUGGUGGCCUACGCACAAACCCUGCAAGUGGAUCUGAGUCCUGCAACACAGAAGCUGAUCCGCGGCUACUUCAUGGCCACCUGCAGAGUCCGAUCACAAAUCCACAGCAAUAAAAUGUCUGCAGCCUUUCUCAAACUGCUGUAGGUGAUGGAGAGGUUAUCUUCUCAGGCCGGGUAAAAUACUGCAAUAGUCCACUUGGGGGCGUGCAGUCGCAGUUAAUGAGCUGCAGAGAUUAUAGUCACCUAAUUGUGACAAAUGUUUGUUAUUCUUCUGGCCGUUCAGCACAUUUAAAGCCUUAGGUGCAGGGUUAACAUGAUUAUGGUUUUAAUCAUCAAGAUUAGAAUGGUAAAACUCAAUAUGGCUCUUCUAGAAGUGACCCUUUUCAUGUUUGUUGUAAUAGGAUCUCUUUAGCAGAGGCCCACUGCAAAUUAAGCCUCAGAAGUGAAGUGCUGGAGGAAGACGCCGUGAUUGCGGUGCUCCUUUGUGAAAACUCUGUCACUCUUAAGCACGGUACUUUUUAAAUCACAAGUUUAAGUACAGUACUCUUAUCCAAUCACUUUAUCCAUUUUUCUAAUGCCAUCCUCUAGUCUCCCAGCAUAACUCAGAACAUUUUACAUAACAAAACUACAAAGUGUAGUGUAAAAUCUGUCUACCUACAGAAGGGUCUCCCCUUGUUAUUCCACCCGAUGCUGAGUUUCCCCCUGAUCUGGGAGAGGAUGGCUUGCUCAGGAGAGACAAAGCCCUGGAUGAACUCCACCAGAACAUCCUCCGCUUCAUCUACACCUACGCACUAGGGGCAGACGAGUACAUCACGGAGGAGUAGAAGGCCAAGAACCUCUGUACAGUUGUUCCAACAAAGUUCGAGUCAAAUGUGCAAUGUAGGUGGUGGCCAGUAUCAACACGUCCAGUUUGGACAGCUUGGUGUCCGGCGGCACCGACGGCAACGUUCUCUGCAGCUCCAGGAAGGCGGUGCGCAGGGUUUGAACGCGGCUCCUCUCCCGCGCAGCAUUGGCAGCCGCAGGCCGACCUCGUCCGCCCCCGAGACCGCCAGCAUGGAGCACCCCGGCGGCGGUGCGGCGAGAGUCCGGGCUGGAGCUCGGGCUGGAGCCUGGGCUGUCAUCUACCACCGUCACCGAGCAAUUGCCGCUGUCCAUCUGGUGCGUCUGUCUCCCAACCAUCUUACAGACCUGAUAAGUUCAUUUUUAAUUACUAAGCUUUUCUGCGGUUUAGGGUUGUUGGAAUAUUAUUGAAAUAUAGGUGUUGCGUUCAUAAUCGAAUUUGACAAAUAAACUAGGAUAAACUUUGCCAUGUUAAAAUCUUACCUCUAUUUCUGCAAGUAAGUUUCAUGAAGACAUUUAUGUGUACCUCCAAAAAGUGAGGAUCUCUCUUCCAAGGAGGUAAAAUUAAGAUUCAAGUUCCUUUUAAUUAAUGACCUUCCAAUGUGAGUAUGACUACUUUCCGAGGAGGGCUUAGUUGCGGUUCCAAUCCAAAAGCAGCCUCCUAUUCCCCACCUAAACUCUCAUACUUUUUCAUC